AUGCUAUCCAGUGACCACCCUUCAGGCCCCUCGUGCUCCUCCCAGUCUGUGGUUCGGGUUGUGGGUGCUGAUCCAGCGACGUUCCACGCCGCCGACUCUCCGGAGUCGGCACACCAAGAUCCUGCGGAUCUUGUCCAACCGUGUCCCACCUUCUCCAUAAGAGAUUAUGUUUUUGAUUCGAGGAGCAAAGGCAUCAAGAGAAGUUGGCCUUUCCACCCGCAGUCACUGGAACUUUGCUUGAAGCGUGGAGUUAAAGAUCUACUGCCUCCAUUCGAGCCUCCCGAUUUGCUCCGGUCAAGGUCUUUCUAUACUUGCGUAGACUCUGAGCAGUCUGCUGCAUGCCUAGAAGCCGAUGCUUUUGUUGAUUUGGUAAAGGCUAGAGAAGCUGGUUUGACAAAUGUGAAUACAACUGGUAUCAACCUCCAGUCAUGUCAAUCAGCAGAUGAGUCACUUGGUCCAUCUCAAUACACUCCUACAGAGGGUGGGAAGACUGCUACUGACCAAGGUGGAAAUAUAAAUGAAUUAGGCCAUACUAGUAAGGCUAUACAAGCAUAUCAGGAAGAUAAUAUUUGCACCAAAGCAAGUUCGGGGACAGAGGUUGCUCGACCCUAUUUGAAAAGUCUUGGCUCAUCACGUGAGACUUCAGAAAAGAAGGGCAAGUUGCUAGUCAAGUCAGGCUCUAUGACAGAUAUCCGUCAGAGAAAAGAUUUAUCAUACAACUCUAGCUCGGUUUCGAAUCCAAAGGCUUCAAAUACCUGUCCUGUUUGCAAAGUCUUCUCUUCUCCAUCAAAUACCACUUUGAAUGCACACAUAGAUCAGUGCCUUUAUGCUGUGUCUAAUGCCGAGCCAGUAGUAGAGACGGUUAUUGUGAAGCCAAAAGUGAAGCAGAGGAAGAUGCAACUGAUGGUGGACAUUUACAAGACAGCCCUUCCAUACACUCUUGAUGACCUUGAUCGGAGGAACGGGACUAACUGGGCUAUCGAUUUGUCUGUGCCAGCUGUGAACAAGGUGCUUUGCACUAAGAACCGUAGCCCACGAGUGGUACCAUCUGAAGCAAAAGAUAGUGAAAGAGAUAGUGAUGUCUAUGUUGAUUCAAAUGGCAUAAAAAUCAGAAUUUUAUCCAAGCCUAUCGGUGCACCCUUGGUCUUGGGCAAUGAUGGUUUAAAGCAAGUUGAAAAGCACCAGACUGGAAAGAGUACAUUGAUGAAAAAGACAUCCUUGGAAUCUAAAUCAUUUAGGAAUAAAAAGUUCAAGGUACAUGGAAAGAAGUGCAACCGACUAAACCAUUUGAAAUCUCAGGUUGAAUUAUACCCAGAUGGGGAUAUCCAUGCUGACACCUCUGAGGAGGAGCUGGCCAUGCAUACACAGAAACCUACUGAAAGCAGCAGUUGUGGUCGUUCGGGAACUAUAAGGCAAUGGGUGUGCUCCAAACGUUCGGGUAUCACUAACAAUUUGAGCAGAAAGUCAAAUAAUAUAUUGUCAGAUAGCAUGAAACCUGGAACAAAGAAAUUGGCUAGGAGCCGCAUGAUUGGUGGCUUUGAUGAUCCUCAAAUUACAGGAAGUUAUACUGAGGCAUUUUCUUCACGGUCAACAGAAGAGACAGCCACCACUUUGGAAGUCAAUGAAAAUGAUGAUCAUGAAAAGGGUUCUUCAAGAUUAUUCAGAUCAAUUCCCAGAUGGUCAUCAGAAAAUCCUUCAUCCAGCAGUGCCUUCCCAAAAGUACCUAGAUCAGCUGCUACUCUUGCGAAGAGAAAAAUUAAGGAGAUUGGAAGAAGAGAAGCUUCUAGGUCUGAUAAGUAUGAUACAGUGAGGAAUUCCACCUCGACAAAAUGCUCUGAACCUUGUCUUUCUGUUUCCAUUAGAGGUCUGAGUAAUGACUCAAAGAGGACAGUGUCUACUUCUAAGGUGUUAAGAAAGCACAGAUCUGUAUCGAGGACUCGCAAGCGUGACUUUUCACCUUCUAUUAGUGGGCUAGUCAAUGAUUUUGGUCAAGAGCAUGAACUUGAUCACAGACAUGUAAACAAUACCUUCAGCGUUACUAAUAAUGGCACAUCCGAUAAGGUUGUAAAGCAUACCCAAGAAGAUACCACAGAUAAUGAUAUCUCUUAUGGAACUGACAUGCCGGCAUUGGGGCAAGGGGAUCAUCAGCAUGAUGUGACACAACAAACAACAAGUACGCAUAUGGAUUCUGAAGGUGAAGAACAUGCAACUCAAAUGCAAUGUACCUCGGUCUCCAGAAAUACUCACGAGGACUGUUGCAGUGCAAUAAGUAGUGGUUCUUUGAGUCUUGAAAAUAGCAAAACUGUGCCCAAAGGAAGUUCAUCAAUGCAGGAUCAAUGCUCCACUAAGCAAUCCACACAUCAUACUCAUGUGUCAAACAUUGUUACCAAUAAUGAGAUGGAGGAAUGUCAGGUAGACCCAGCUUCAACUAAGGAAUCUAGCACCUGCUUAACUAAUAACAGGGAAAUGGGUCUUGCAACUCCUCGGGAUAACUCGUCAAUAACGUCGAACAGAGAAGACUCUAACCAAGAUCAUGUUUUUUUGGCAUUUGGUCGGGACUCAUCAGACUCUCCUAUUUCGGUUGCCUCAACUAUGUCUUCUCCAGUUGCUUUGAAUGGUUCAAGAAAUGAAGAGUCAGGACCAGGCCAAUCGACCGUAAAUGUUAGGACACUUGAAAAGAGCAUGUCUGGGAGCUCAAAUCAGGAGACGAAGUCGAUGCCUCCAGCAAGAGAAGGUGACCAGUUGGCUAAGGAGAAGUUGUAUUGCUGCUCUUGUCGUGAGAGCAUCUCCAGGGAGCCUCACUUAGACCAUGAAAGUUCAACAGCCAGAUCAGACACUUUUGCUAGAAAACAAGUUCCACAAUUGCACAUGGGUUUACGGACAUCAUCAUCUUUCAGCACAUACCAAAGAACAGACACAAAUUCAAACCCUUACUUAGAUUCACAUGGUCAGCUAUUAACUGGCAAAGUUAUAACUGAAUCUUCCAUGAGCUCCCUGUCUUAUGCGACAGAUUGUAUCAGACCAGCAUUGCAAACUCAACUUCCAUCGCCGCCAAGUCCUAUGUUGAGACUGAUGGGCAAGAACUUGAUGGUGAUGAACAGCCAGGAGAGUGGGCGUCCUCAAGCUCCAAAGCCAGACUACAUGCUGGGAGGGAAUUACAUGCCACCUGCUAGUUUUGUGCCUCCAGACUACCAACAUAGUCAUUCUGCAUUGAUCGACAGAACUCCAUCAGCAAGGAGUCACCAGAUUCCUCUUCCAAGUGUUCAAGCUAGCAACUUUGUUGGGCCUCCAAUGCAUGGUGGUUUCAUGGUGCAAUCUAAUCAUCAUUCUCUGCAGAAACCAUACAGGAACCCUGCUCCAGUCAUGCAUCACCCUACCUACAUGAUGAAAGAGGUUAUCAUGAUUAAUGACGAUCCUCCUGAAUGCAGAAGUGAGCCACAAGUCAGUAUGCAUCCUCCCACUGGAACCUAUCCAACAUCAAUCUCCGUCCCAAACAAUUUUGGGCCCAGGCCAUUUUACUGCCAUCCACCGCCGAUGCAAAUUUUGCCAAGGGAGAAUUUUGCUGGAUCAAUGCCUGUUUUCCCAAUGUUUGGUGCUCAAAGGCAGCAAGUCAGAUAUAGCCAAUCCUUACAUCUCACCCCGUCUCGCGUCCAGCCUCCACAAGGUUACAUAAACCCACAUGUUUACUAUCCGCAGGAUUUACGGUGA
rnacentral:rRNA from 1 species